rnacentral:lncRNA from 1 species
GAAAUGUGUCCUCUCAAUCCUGAGAAUGCCCAGAAUGAUCAGGCUCAAAGGAAGGUGUAAGAAACUCCCAUUAGUGAGAUUACAGGUUCAGAUGUGGCCAGCUAAUCUUCUCCACCAUUAACUCUCACCCUGCGCAAUCACGUACCUGGAGGUCUCUCGCAACUGCAGGCACCGCUCCUGUGUCGCACAGGGAGCAGGGCAGUGAUGAGCACUUAGAAAAAUCAUGGUGUAGUGUUUCUGUGAAAAAUGAAUGUUAAAAAAACUGGGCAUUGGUAAUGGACAUUGGCCAUUUAAAAGUUUGUCUCUGUGUUCUUCAGAAGACUCAUCCAGGAUUUCUCUGGUGCAGUUAAAAUGCCAUGCGAGGGCACAGCUGAUCAGUCUUCAUAAAAGCACUGCUGAAAAAGAUGUAUAACUAAUGCAUUCUUCUUCAUUAGGAAACAUCGUUUCUUGUGGCAUCACUUCUGUUAUGUUUUCUUGCAGUGACCCAAAAACCUGGCUGCUUUGGAAAGUGGAUAGUAUUGGCAAUCAAAGAAAUAUGAGUGAUGUUUUGCACCUCAAGACUUCAUUCUGUAAGAUGUAUCGACCGGAUUGCCUACCUGUAACUCAGCUUUGUAAGCAGCCUCCUGAGGUUAGCCGCGGUGGUAAUACAUGCCUUGUGCUUUGCCAGCCCCUACAAGCCAGCCAAAGUCUGUUAAAGCCUUCAGAGCACAAAACAGUGAUAAGAUGGAUCACUAACAGGUAUGCAUCAGGGAUAACGCAAAGGUGUUCCUUGGACGACAACCUAAAAUUAGCUGCUGUUAACUCAAAGCAGUAGUAACUGCCUCCUAUGUUGUUACCUCUGCUGGAACAGAGUGGCUAAUGUAUGUAAGGGAAAUGGUGAUACUGAGUAUGUACAUUAUAUACAUAUAUACUAUGUAUAUGUAUGUAUAUGUGUAUAUGCUAGCAUGUUGAAGUGUAGAAGUCAUUUUUUGAAAAGUUCUGGGAGAUUCAGGCAUAUGGCUUGUUUUGGACUGUUAUAAAAAUAUGAACAUUUUGGUGAUAAAGCUAAAAAUGUAUACAUUAAGACCUACAUUCCUAAUGUAGGUCAGUGGAGGCACUUCUCAGACAUAUUAGUGUUUUGGACACUUAAUCUUAGCAGCAUAUUGCAUCUCCUGGAAUAGGUUAGCAGAGGCAAUGCAGAAGAAAUUGUUGCAUCUGAAGUCAUUCAGAAAUAUUGCCAAGUUUCUCAGGAACCAGAAUUGCAGGAUAAUGAGUAUUAUAUUUAAUUUGUGAUGGAAAGGCAACUGUAGGGAGUUCAGCAGAGGCAACUCAGAUCAUCUUGGCUCUGUGGGGGAGGGAGAAUUUAUAACUAUAGCUAGCUAAAAAGAAGAAAGCUGUCUGUAUUUGUGUGUAUAUAUAUAUUUAUAUAUAUGUAUAUACAAAUCUGUGUAUGUGUAGAUAACGCUGUGUGUAUAUAUGUAUGUAUGUAUAUGCCCAUAAUGUAUAAUAUGUGUAUCUAUAUAUAUGUAUACAUUUAUAUAAAUUUAUAUUUCUCUAUAUAA